AAAAUGAUGAGAAUUAUUGGUCCGUGUUUAUGAUAUUUUAUUGAUUAUAAUUACCAUUUCUGAUAUUA